UACGUAGGGUGCAAGCGUUAAUCGGAAUUACUGGGCGUAAAGCGUGCGCAGGCGGCUUUGCAAGACAGAUGUGAAAUCCCCGGGCUUAACCUGGGAAUGGCAUUUGGGACUGCAAGGCUUGAGUGCGGCAGAGGAGACUGGAAUUCCCGGUGUAGCAGUGAAAUGCGUAGAUAUCGGGAGGAAUACCGAUGGCGAAGGCAGGUCUCUGGGCUGACACUGACGCUCAUGCACGAAAGCGUGGGGAGCAAACAGG
rnacentral:rRNA from 1 species